rnacentral:rRNA from 1 species
CAAUGGACGAAAGCCUGAUGGAGCAACACCGCGUGAUCGAUGAAAGGCCUAACGGUUGUAAAGAUCUUUUCUGAGGGAAGAAUUCUGACGGUACCUCAGGAAUAAGCGACUGCUAACUACGUGCCAGCAGCAGCGGUAAUACGUAGGUCGCGAACGUUAUCCGGAAUGAUUGGGCGUAAAGCGUCCGCAGGCGGCGAAAUUAGUCGGAUGUUAAAUAUUAUAGCUUAACUAUGAUGCUGCAUCCGAUACUGUUUUGCUAGAGACAUUCAGAGGCAAGUGGAAUUCUGUGU